UACGAAGGGGGCUAGCGUUGCUCGGAAUUACUGGGCGUAAAGGCGCGUAGGCGGUUCGGUAAGUCAGGUGUGAAAUCUCCACGCUCAACGUGGAGGCGCCACCUGAAACUGCCGUGACUAGAGUCCGGUAGGGAGUGUGGAAUUCCCGGUGUAGCGUGAAAUGCGCAGAUAUCGGAGGACACCAGUGCGAAGCGGCACUCUGGCCGAACUGACGCUGAGAGCGAAGCGUGGGAGCGAACAG
rnacentral:rRNA from 1 species